rnacentral:rRNA from 1 species
GACGAACGCUGGCGGCGUGCUUAACACAUGCAAGUCGAACGAAGAGCGAUGGACGCUUGCUUCUAUCAAUCUUAGUGGCGAACGGGUGAGUAACGCGUAAUCAACCUGCCCUUCAGAGGGGGACAACAGUUGGAAACGACUGCUAAUACCGCAUACGAUCUAAUCUCGGCAUCGAGGAUAGAUGAAAGGUGGCCCCUACAUGUAAGCUAUCACUGAAGGAGGGGAUUGCGUCUGAUUAGCUAGUUGGAGGGGUAACGGCCCACCAAGGCGAUGAUCAGUAGCCGGUCUGAGAGGAUGAACGGCCACAUUGGGACUGAGACACGGCCCAGACUCCUACGGGAGGCAGCAGUGGGGAAUCUUCCGCAAUGGACGAAAGUCUGACGGAGCAACGCCGCGUGAGUGAUGACGGCCUUCGGGUUGUAAAGCUCUGUUAAUCGGGACGAAAGGCCUUCUUGCGAAUAGUGAGAAGGAUUGACGGUACCGGAAGAGAAAGCCACGGCUAACUACGUG